UACGUAGGGCGCGAGCGUUGUCCGGAAUUAUUGGGCGUAAAGAGCUCGUAGGUGGCUUGUUGCGUCUGCCGUGAAAGCCCGUGGCUUAACUACGGGUCUGCGGUGGAUACGGGCAGGCUAGAGGCUGGUAGGGGCAAGCGGAAUUCCUGGUGUAGCGGUGAAAUGCGCAGAUAUCAGGAGGAACACCGGUGGCGAAGGCGGCUUGCUGGGCCAGUUCUGACGCUGAGGCGCGAAAGCGUGGGGAGCGAACAGG
rnacentral:rRNA from 1 species